GACUGGAAGCUGUGCAAUAAAGACUUAAGUUGUGAAAAGUCUCAUUUUGUCUUCUGAAGAACAAUAAGAGAAAGUGCUGACGUCAACUGCCGGAGGGAGGGGCCGUUCACUAAAGGUGUUUGCCGAGUUCAACCGGAUCUCCACCACAAACCUGCAUAAUAACUUCUUUGAUGCUCUGGACCGCUUCACAUCCCGCUUUGUAGCAAUCUACAAGUCCAAGAAAGGAAGCGUUGGAGAGACAUUGGCUGAGUUAUUGCAGCAAAUUGAUUUGCGGACAUCAGAUGUGACGGCAAUGCGAACCCUCG